UUUGUUAUCUCUCAAUCAAUUAAACAGUCGGGGAUAUUGGGCUCUGAAGUCUGAUUCUAGCCUUUGUGUGACCCUGAUUCUAGCUCUCAUGUGGCCUCUUCCAAUGUGUGAUUCUGCCAUAGGAUCUUAAUAAAGAGAAUUUUCCGGUUGCGGAAUACUUUACUCUUUCGGUCUACAGUACUGACUAGUACUUUCUCGUAGAACAGAUCCUCUUGGAGCAAAAGGAGCUCGUGGGCCAGGACGUUAUAGGGGUCCAGGUUGUACUUGCAUAGCAUGGAUACAUGGAACGCAUUAUGGACCCUGGAUAGUUUUGGAGGCAGUGUCAGUUUGUAAGCGGUGGCGCUAAUUCUGUUUAAGAUUUCAAAUGACCCAAUGAACUGGGGAUUUAGUUUCUUUAUCUUGCCAAAUCUACUGAUUUCUUUGAAAAGGGUGACCUUAAAGAAUACCCAAUAACCUUUCUCAAAUUCUAAAUCCCUCUUUUAGGUAUUCGCAUAACUCUUCUGUCUGCUCUGAGCUGUUUGAAUGUUCUUUCUGAUCUUAACUAUUUUGGCCGUAGUAUCCUCUACAAGAUCUAGGCCGAACAAUUUUCUAUCACCCACUUCUUCCCAACAGAUCGACGAU
rnacentral:lncRNA from 1 species